CCUACGCGAGGCAGCAGUGAGGAAUAUUGGUCCAUGGCCGAGAGGCUGAACCAGCCAAGUCGCGUGAGGGAAGACGGCCCUACGGGUUGUAAACAUCUUUUGUCGGGGAGCAAAGAGAGUCACGUGUGACUCAUUGAGAGUACCCGAAGAAAAAGCAUCGGCUAACUCCGUGCCAGCAGCCGCGGUAAUACGGAGGAUGCGAGCGUUAUCCGGAUUUAUUGGGUUUAAAGGGUGCGCAGGCGGAGGUGCAAGUCAGCGGUCAAAUUGCGGGGCUCAACCCCGUACUGCCGUUGAAACUGCAUCCUUUGAUUGCGCGAGAAGUAUGCGGAAUGCGUGGUGUAGCGGUGAAAUGCAUAGAUAUCACGCAGAACUCCGAUUGCGAAGGAAGCAGACCGGCGCGCAACUGACGCUCAUGCACGAAAGCGUGGGUAUCGAACAGGAUUAGAUACCCCUGUAGUC
rnacentral:rRNA from 1 species